GGGGCGGAGCAGCACCAUCCCUCUGCGUGACCGCUCCCACACGGCUGCGGCGGGUGGAGCUUGUCCUCGCGUCGGAAGUGGAAGUGCUGCGUGCGGAAGUAGCUCUGUGGUAGCGGAGGGGCGGUUGAUGGGUUGCCAGGAUGUUCCGUGCCGCUGUGGACAUUCAGCCCGCCUGCCUCGGGCUGUACUGCGGCAGGACCGUCCUGUCAGUCAACGGCUCCGUGGAGACUUACGGGGAGUGCGGGGUAUGCCCUAGAGGUCAAAGAACUGAUGACAACAAAAUCUGCCGGGAAUGUAUGGGAUCUCCAGACCGCUAUGACUGGUUGUACCUUGGCUUCAUGGCCAUGCUUCCGCUGGUUUUACACUGGUUCUUUAUUGAGUGGUAUUCAGGAAAAAAGAGUUCCCGCGCACUGUUGCAGCAUGUAACUGCCUUGUUCGAGUGCAGCGUUGCAGCAAUUGUUACGCUGCUUGUCAGUGACCCCGUCGGCUCGGUGCAUAUCCACUCCUGCAAGGUGAAGAAGCUUUCGGACUGGUACACGAUGCUUUACAACCCAAGCCCUGACUACAUCACCACGGUGCACUGCACUCAUGAAGCAGUCUAUCCCCUGUACACCAUUGUGUUUAUAUAUUAUGCUUUCUGUCUUGUGUUAAUGAUGCUACUUCGGCCUCUUCUGGUUAAGAAAAUUGCCUGUGGUUUAGGAAAGUCCGAUCGAUUUAAAAGCAUUUAUGCAGCACUAUACUUCUUCCCUAUCCUCACCGUGCUUCAGGCUGUUGGAGGAGGCCUGCUUUGCUUCUGGCCAAGACUGCUUUGUCUCUGCUGGUGCUGCUAGAGACUGUGCCUUUCUCAAGAAGGGAAUAGAAGGGGUGUGAGAGGAAAUUACAUCAGAGGGAGCUCCUUCCACUUUCUGCUAAGGUAGAGUUUGUCUGAUUUCAGAGGUGGAUCAAAGUCUAAGUUUGGACAUAUCUGCUAUUUUUGGGUUUGCUUCCAGCAUACUUGUCACAUGAAGGGGACAGGCACCACAAAAUCCCCACUCAGCCUGAUUGCUUUUCUCAUUAUCUGCCUUUUUCAGUUAGUGAUUUAAGUGUACAGUAACUCCACCUAGAAAUAACAGAAAAAGUUUGAAAACCUAAGACAGAAGUGUUGAAUGGUUGUGCUAGCCUGAGCUUUACCACUGUGUGUGUUUGAUGGGAUGAUAAGAGGUGGACUACAGUAGCUUAGUUUACUUCACACCCAUGGUUAUACGUGGAAAAGCUACCUCUGCUGAAAUGUGUAUCGAGUGUUCUUUCUCCUGCUAAUGUGUUUGAUGUUUACCUUUAGAUUAUGCCUUCCCAUACAUCAUACUGGUGUUGUCUUUGGUUACACUGGCUGUGUAUAUGUCUGCGUCUGAAGUGGAGUCUUUCAAGGAUCUUCUUGUGAGGAAGAAAAGGCUUGUUGUCCUCUUCAGCCACUGGUUACUUCACGCCUAUGGAAUCAUCUCCAUUUCCAAACUGGAUAAGCUUGAGCAGGACCUGCCAUUGCUUGCCUUGGUACCUGCACCUGCCCUCUUCUACUUGCUGACAGCAAAGUACACCGAGCCAUCGCGCAUACUCUCGGAGGGUGGAAAUGGACAUUGAAAGGAGCCUGUGCCAACAACACUGUCCCAAUGAUCUGAAUUAAGCAAUUUUAGUGCUUGUUAUGUUUUGGAAACUUCUGUUUUAAAAGAAGUUAUUUAUGAACUGGACUUCUAGGUGAAACACCUGAGUGAGACUGGAGAAUAUAAAAAAAGCUGCACUUUGUAUUCUUCAUAAGUAUCUGGUAUAGAUGGAAGGGAAUGUCCUUGUAUCUAUUUAUCACUGUGAAUCUGUAUAAAAAGCUUGCGACACAUUCUAGUAUAGGGGUUUGCUUGUGUAUGUUUGUUUCUUAAUACAGUAUUUUAGGUGGUGUUUGAAUAAAAUGCUAGAGUUGGGUUUUCAGUAGACUUUCAAUGAAACAAAUAGGGUCUUUUCUCUGUAUUGUACAGGAAGAUACCCAAAGCAUGUAUCCUGUAUCUAAGUCACCAGUGACGUAGUGCUAUGGAAGGUCUAGAAGAUGCAGAGCAGUACUGAAGGUCUAAACACAGAAGAAAGAGCUAUAGGAAACAUAGUGCUCUGUUUUCUGAUCGUGUACUCCACCAGUGGAAAUAGAUUUUUCCUUCCAUCAAAAAAUAGAACAUGUUGAGCAUGAUUCCUUAUGACGGAAGGUGGAAGGAGAGGAAAUGCAUUUUCAAGUUCUCUAUAAAAGCAUAGCUUAUGCUCUGUGUACUUCAUGGAGGUGAUUAAACAGUAGUAUCCUUCCCACUAA